AUCCAGUGGAAGAGUCCUAAAUAAGACGAAAUGUGCAUCCUGGAU
rnacentral:hammerhead_ribozyme from 1 species